UACGGGGGGGGGCAAGCGUUGUUCGGAAUUACUGGGCGUAAAGGGCGCGUAGGCGGUUUGUUAAGUUGGAUGUGAAAACUCUGGGCUUAACCCAGAGCCUGCAUCCAAAACUGGCAGGCUAGAGUUUUGGAGGGGGAAGCGGAAUUCCUGGUGUAGCAGUGAAAUGCGUAGAUAUCAGGAGGAACACCGGUGGCGAAGGCGGCUUCCUGGACAAAAACUGACGCUGAGGCGCGAAAGCUAGGGGAGCAAACAGG
rnacentral:rRNA from 1 species